rnacentral:misc_RNA from 1 species
ACUCUCCCAUCUCUUAAAUAAAUAUAUAAUUAAAGAAAAGGGUUUAUCAAAUUGAAUGAAGUCAUAUCUGAUGAUUAAUAAUCUUAGUUUAGGUUACUCAGAUCUUGGCCAUAAAUGAUCAGGGGUUUAUAGAUUAUAUUUCUGCUUAUGAAUUUUAUAAUAUUAAGAUCAGCAGUUCUUAUUGGGCUAAAUGAUUUCUGAAUAUGAUCCUUAAAAAUUGUAAUUUAUUUAUCUCUGGUGUCCUUUAUCAUAGAUUAAAUUUUUAUGGGAAAUUUGAAAAACAAGGUUGCAGCAUCUACUCCAAA